AUUUACUUCCGGAAUUUAAAGCCGGCUUCCGGAAGCCGGGACGAUGUCCCCAUGACAACCGACGUUGGAGUUUGGAGGUGCUUGCCUUAGAGCAAGGGAAACAGCUCUGAUUCAAAGGAACUAGAAGCCUCUCCCUCAGUGUUCCUCCUGCUGUCCUAUGACCUUUUUGUCAAUUCCUUCUCAGAACUGCUCCGAAAGGCUCCUGUCAUCCAGCUUGUGCUCUUCAUCAUCCAGGAUAUUGCAGUCCUCUUCAACAUCAUCAUCAUUUUCCUCAUGUUCUUCAACACCUUCGUCUUCCAGGCUGGCCUGGUCAACCUCCUAUUCCAUAAAUUCAAAGGGACCAUCAUCCUGACAGCUGUGUACUUUGCCCUCAGCAUCUCCCUUCAUGUCUGGAUCAUGGUAAGAGUAGAAGUCUGAAUUCUUUCUUUAAUUUUUAUUUUAAAUAGAGGUGGGGUCUUACUGUGUUACCAAGGCUGGUCUCUAACUCCUGAGCUCAAGUGAUUCUCCAGCUUCUGCCUCCCAAAGUGCUGGAAUUACAGGCGUGAGUCACUGUGCCCAGCCUGAACUCUGAAUUCCUGAAUCCCUAAAAGGCUAGGAAUAACUUUUCUUUUCUUUUCUUUUCUUUUUUUUGAGACAGAGUAUCGCUCUGUCGCCAGGCUGGAGUGCAGUGGCACAAUCUCAGCUCACUGCAACCUCCGCUU
rnacentral:sRNA from 1 species